UGCACAGAGAAACAGAGAUGAAUUUCUGGCCUACUGGAGAAAACUGGGUACUUUGUUCUUCAUUCAAAUGGAACCGGAUAGUGAGCUUCUCAAGGUAGUCUUUCCAAGCUGUUGGUGAGCUCCACAAUUUACCAAAUUAACAACAUUUGUCAAAUGCUAGGCAACAGCAGUGAGCUGCAGCUCCCAGUCCGCCACAGGAUCGCCCUGGUGAACAGCCAAGAAAGGCUCCACAGUGCUGUGUUGUUAAACCACCAUGUUCCACAAGCCACCUUCAAAGGAAAGGGACAUUGAUGGAUGAACAAAUGCACCCAAAGAGCCUGUACAGACAAUAGAACACUCAGGCACAAGCACUGUGCUGUAUGCUGCUGCUCCAUGAAAAUAUGCUGCUUCAGAAAGAGAAGAGGAAUCCAAGCCUGCUCAUUGUUGACAAGAGCAACUGGGAAACUAAAAACUCUUCUGUUUUGUGGGGUUUUGCCAUCUUGCUUUGAUCUAUAUGGCUACAGCUGGUGAGCGACUCUUCUACUCCUGUUACUUCCUUUGUCUCAUUUUUUACCCCUGAGAAGCGUCACUAGCAGAUUUUCCUAGGAUUGCCUCCAUUCAAUUUUAGUGGUGACAUUCUCACUCUGUCAGAGACAGAACAGCCUUAUUAAUCACUCUCAGGACCACUAAUACCAACAAUCUGUCACCACUGCCGAUCGAAUGCAUCGUGCAUGGUAACUAGAAAACUCACCCCAAGACCUGAUGAUUUGUCCUGGUGUUGGGUCCCAUAGCACAAGGAGGUAGACAUCAGGGAUGGUCUUUUCUUUCCCAUCUUUUACUAUUUUUUUUCUUUGAUGGCUCAAAGCUUAUCAAUUAUAAAUCAUGUUCCCCGUAAUGCUUACUUGAUGCUAUCUCCUCCAUGCUGUGGGUUGCACUCACCUGCUAAAGGGUCACCACAUGACCCUGUGUGGUAAUCACAGUGAAGCACUAUGGUAAAUUUGGCAUUUCAGGUUCUGACUGAAUUUUGACAAAGUGCUUUUGAGUUUUCUUACAAUAUUUAACCAACAAAUGUGGAUGAUGCCCAAUGUUUACCUGCCGAAGUGACUCUUCUAUUUUGUGGUAGUUUGUUUUUCUUCAUUUCAGACAUGAGUUUUAUAGGAGAGUGGGUAGAGAGUAGAAUUAGGAUGAGUCCCUCAGAAUAUCUUAUUAGCACAAGGGAACCCAGCGUACUGACCUCAGCAAUAUCAACGUGAAGCCAUCACUAGCAGCAGUCAGUUUCAUGUAAUUACUUACUGUCAUAAUGACAUGCACCCCAAAAUAAUACUUUAUUAAUUACACUUUAUUGUCUAUAUUUUUCCCAGGCUUAUGAAAAAUUUACAUUUUGAUGACUUUAGUUCUAUUUUCUCAUCAUAUGCAUGUUACAAUACCGGGUGUUUGCCAUUAUUGUCUUCAUUUUACAGAUGAGGAAAGGGAGGCUAGAAGAGUUUACGGAACUUGCUAAAAAUAUAAAUACUCCAAAAUAAUAGAGCCAGAUUGGCAGCAAGGUCUAUGUGUCCUUUAUGAUGGUUUUUCCAUACACACUGAGGAUUUGGUGAAAGAGAAAAUGUAUAUUUCAUAGCAUUUCCCAUGUAUCAUGCAAAACCCCAAAGAAUUUAAGAAAAUAACUUAGGUAAUCCAUUGCCACAUUGUAGCCAGGUUAUAAAACCCCAGGCAUGGGGUAAAAGCUGACUAACUCAGGGUCUUCUACUAGGACCAAACUGCCUGGCCAAUGAGACCAGCUCUCUCCAGACUUUGGGAGUGGGACUCAGAGAAGAUCAGUUAGUUGUCAGUGUGGUGGGUGGUGAGAAACAUGCACAGUUGGAGCAUAUGUGUGUUAGCCACCUUUCACCAUGAAGGGUGAGUGGGAAGUUGAGAAAGUUUUCUGGAUGAAGAAAGAAGUAGAUGCUGACAAGAAAGAGUCUGGAUUUCCUGGCACAGUAAGUUUGUGGCACUGCUCCGGGAGCAUUGAAUGUAAGGAACCCACCCUCCACCCCCUGCCUCCAUCUCAUAUGAUGUGUCAUGGGUCAUCAGAGAAUGUAGCACAGGGAACUGUUGUUACCUAACACAUUUCCAUGGGCAGGGAGUGUUCUUGUAAGACUUCCUUCCCCCUUGCCUACUUAUACAUCAGGCACUCUAGCAAGAUGAGUGAAUUUCUUUACAAUCUUUCCAUCCUGGGGGCCAAAGCUCCAUUUUCAAUAUCCCUUAUCUUCCCAGAAAUGAUAUUUGCCACAGGUUUUGUGUGUUCUCUAGGCAUGAUGUCUCUCUCUGCAAUCCCAGAGGGUCACAUCAGAAACAUCAUAUUCAGUCAUUCAAAAUUGUUCAUCAUGUUAGAAAAAAAUAUACCUACUAAUACAUUUCCUUCUUCCCAUAACAGGGGAAAGAAUACCUUCUGAAAGAAUUUAAAUACUGUUAUCUUUCCCCUUGGUGUCAGAACUAAUCUUCCCAGUAGAUUUCACUGCCACCUGUCAUUGUUUUUUGCUUCAGUCUUUCUACCUGCCAUGACUUGAAUAUAUUAAGUAUACUUAAGGCUCAUAACUCCAAAAGUUCGCUUCUGCUUUCCUUGCUUUCCUUCUAUGAAAUCCUAAUUAUCUUUGAAGACUUGGGUGAAAUAGUAGUGUCAUUCACUCUCAUAAUUCUCUGAGUUUGCAUGAUAAUUCACACAAUCACCUUAAGAGUUAAUAUUUACUCAGAGCUUUAUCCAUGCUCAGCAUUGCCACUAAAUGCUUUACAUGUAUUUACUGCUUUAAUUCUCACGCAUAACCAGUCGAAGUGGGCAUUAUUUCCUUACUAGCAAAACUGGGAACUGCAGCAUUGAGAGAUUAACUGGCUUGUCCAAGUUCUCACAACUGAAACUAGUGGAGCAGGGAUUUCCAUUCAGAUAGACUGGUUCUGGAGUCCCUGGAGACACCCAAUCUUAACAGUUACUUAGUGGAGAAAUCUCUUCCAUUGAACUGCUUAGCUGUCUUUGAGACAAAAUGUCUAGUGAGAGUAUUGGAUAUUUUCUUUUAAAUCUUAUUGCU